GGAAAGUUAGUCUAAUCAAAGACAGUUGAUUUCGACUCAACAGAUUAUAGUUAACACUCUAUAACUUUCCU
rnacentral:tRNA from 1 species